rnacentral:rRNA from 1 species
GACGAACGCUGGCGGCGUGCUUAACACAUGCAAGUCGAACGGAAAGGCCCUGCUUUUGUGGGGUGCUCGAGUGGCGAACGGGUGAGUAACACGUGAGUAACCUGCCCUUGACUUUGGGAUAACUUCAGGAAACUUGGGCUAAUACCGGCUAGGAGCUCCUGCUGCAUGGUGGGGGUUGGAAAGUUUCGGCGGUUGGGGAUGGACUCGCGGCUUAUCAGCUUGUUGGUGGGGUAGUGGCUUACCAAGGCUUUGACGGGUAGCCGGCCUGAGCGGGUGAGCGGCAACAGUGGGACUGAGAUACGGCCCAGACUCCUACGGGAAGCAGCAGUGGGGGAGAUGGCACAAUGGGAGGAAGCCUGAUGCAGCAACGCCGCGGGCGGGAUGACGGCCUUCGGGUUGUAAACCGCUUUCGCCUGUGACGAAGCGGGAGUGACGGUAAUGGGUAGAGAAGCACCGGCUAACUACGGU